UACAGAGGUCUCAAGCGUUGUUCGGAUUCAUUGGGCGUAAAGGGUGCGUAGGCGGCUUGGCAAAUCGGUCGUGGAAUCCCGACGCUUACCGUCGGAACGGCGGCCGAAAAUACCGAGCUCGAGGGCGUGAGGGGUCACUGGAACUCCUGGUGAAGCGGUGAAAUGCGUAGAUAUCAGGAGGAACGCCGGAGGCGAAAGCGAGUGACUGGCGCGUUCCUGACGCUGAGGUGCGAAAGCUAGGGGAGCAAACAGG
rnacentral:rRNA from 1 species